rnacentral:siRNA from 1 species
CGGGGUGUUGUUUGAUGUCUC